rnacentral:rRNA from 1 species
CCUACGGGAGGCAGCAGUGGGGAAUUUUCCGCAAUGGGCGAAAGCCUGACGGAGCAACGCCGCGUGAGGGAUGAAGGCCUCUGGGCUGUAAACCUCUUUUAUCAAGGAAGAAGAUCUGACGGUACUUGAUGAAUAAGCCACGGCUAAUUCCGUGCCAGCAGCCGCGGUAAUACGGGAGUGGCAAGCGUUAUCCGGAAUUAUUGGGCGUAAAGCGUCCGCAGGCGGUCUUGUAAGUCUGUCGUUAAAGCGUGGAGCUCAACUCCAUUUCGGCGGUGGAAACUACAAGACUAGAGUGUGGUAGGGGCAGAGGGAAUUCCCGGUGUAGCGGUGAAAUGCGUAGAUAUCGGGAAGAACACCAGUGGCGAAGGCGCUCUGCUGGGCCAUAACUGACGCUCAUGGACGAAAGCUAGGGGAGCGAAAGGGAUUAGAUACCCCUGUAGUCCUAGCCGUAAACGAUGAACACUAGGUNUCGGGGGAAUGACCCCCUCGGUGUCGUAGCUAACGCGUUAAGUGUUCCGCCGUCGGGUAGGUACGCGACGCAGUAGUGAACGUACGAAAGAAAGUUAGACGGCGUGUAAGGAGUGCGACGGACGACGACGAAGGGAGGAGG